CAGAGCCAAGGAAGCUGCACAGGGACAAGGGCUGAUGAUAUUGAAAGUUCAUAUGGAUCAGGUGAUUUCACUGUGAAAGGCUUCCUCCACAGACUGAGCAUCAUCAAUGACUGGGCAAAAUUCCACUGGGCUCUUCUAGACUUUUUCCAAGGACUAUUUCUGGAAACAAACUUCAACAUUCCCAGAAAGUCACAUGAAGAGUUCACACCGAGUCUCAGAGGAGCCAAUGAACAAAAUCUGGGACUAUAAAGACCAUGAAGUCCUUUGAAGAGUGACUAAGCGCAUUGUACACCGAGAUGCACAGGAGCCUGUAGAAACUAAGACAUUUGGAGCAGCAGGAUGCCAUUGAGAAGAGGUUGGGAAUGUUAAAGCUGUAAGUUCCAGUCCAUUCUCAGAAAGCUAACCAAGAGACGUCUUGUAUCAGAUCAACUCUCAGAAUCAGAAGGUCUCAGAGGGCAUAAGA
rnacentral:piRNA from 1 species